GCUUACGGCCAUACCACCCUGAGAACGCCCGAUUUCGUCUGAUCUCGGAAGCUAAGCAGGGUCGGGCCUGGUUAGUACUUGGAUGGGAGACCGCUUGGGAAUACCAGGUGCUGUAAGCC
rnacentral:rRNA from 1 species